rnacentral:rRNA from 1 species
UACGUAGGGUGCAAGCGUUAAUCGGAAUUACUGGGCGUAAAGCGUGCGCAGGCGGUGAUGUAAGACAGAUGUGAAAUCCCCGGGCUCAACCUGGGAACUGCAUUUGUGACUGCAUCGCUGGAGUGCGGCAGAGGGGGAUGGAAUUCCGCGUGUAGCAGUGAAAUGCGUAGAUAUGCGGAGGAACACCGAUGGCGAAGGCAAUCCCCCUGGGCCUGCACUGACGCUCAUGCACGAAAGCGUGGGGAGCAAACAGA